GAGUNCAGAAGGGGAGAGUGGAAUUCCAUGUGUAGCGGUGAAAUGCGUAGAUAUAUGGAGGANCACCAGUGGCGAAAGCGGCUCUCUGGUCUGUCACUGACGCUGAGGCUCGAAAGCGUGGGUAGCGAACAGGAUUAGAUACCCUGGUAGUNCACGCCGUAAACGAUGAGUGCUAGGUGUUAGGCCCUUUCCGGGGCUUAGUGCCGGAGCUAACGCAAUAAGCACUCCGCCUGGGGAGUACGACCGCAAGGUUGAAACUCAAAGGAAUUGACGGGGGCCCGCACAAGCGGUGGAGCAUGUGGUUUAAUUCGAAGCAACGCGAAGAACCUUACCAGGUCUUGACAUCCCGAUGCUAUUCUUAGAGAUAGGAAGUUACUUCGGUACAUCGGAGACAGGUGGUGCAUGGUUGUCGUCAGCUCGUGUCGUGAGAUGUUGGGUUAAGUCCCGCAACGAGCGCAACCCUUAUUGUUAGUUGCCAUCAUUAAGUUGGGCACUCUAGCGAGACUGCCGGUAAUAAACCGGAGGAAGGUGGGGAUGACGUCAAAUCAUCAUGCCCCUUAUGACCUGGGCUACACACGUGCUACAAUGGUCGGUACAACGAGUUGCGAGCCGGUGACGGCAAGCUAAUCUCUGAAAACCGAUCUCAGUUCGGAUUGGAGGCUGCAACUCGCCUCCAUGAAGUCGGAAUCGCUAGUAAUCGCGGAUCAGCACGCCGCGGUGAAUACGUUCCCGGGCCUUGUACACACCGCCCGUCACACCACGAGAGUUUGUAACACCCGAAGUCGGUGAGGUAACCUUUUAGGGGCCAGCCGCC
rnacentral:rRNA from 1 species